CGGGAGGGGCACUGGGGCAACUUUUUGGUUGGCUGCCUCCGGCGCUGACAGCCCAGGCCCCUUUUAAACUUGGUUUCUCUGGCGCCCUCCCCUUUCGGCCGCGGCGCGCGACUUGGGCUCAGUCCAGUUCAGGAUGCUGACAAACUUCAGGGCUGGUGCUGCUGGAGAGACACAAUUGUGCCGGAAAGAAGCUUUUCAAGUAGAUAAGGUGUAUGUGAACAGGUGAUGGUUGAUAUAUGCAAAACAGAGGCUUUUGCUUUCUUUGUCCCUUUUACCCUAACACAGCGGUUCUCAACCUGUGGGUCGCGACCCCUUUGGCGGUCGAACGACCCUUUCACAGGGGUCGCCUAAGACCAUCCUGCAUAUCAGAUAUUUACAUUACGAUUCAUAACAGUAGCAACAUUAGAGUUAUGAAGUAGCAACGAAAACAAUUUUAUGGUUGGGUCACAACAUGAGGAGCUGUAUUUAGAAGGCCAGAAGGUUGAGAACUACUGCGCUAACAGCUGGGGUGAGUUGCGGGGGGGGGGGGGGGGGGCAGGUUUCUGUUAGAGCAUAUAU